rnacentral:misc_RNA from 1 species
AAUCAACAACAUUUCGUACAAGAUUCGUCUUCUGCCAAUUCACUUUCUGAUUCCGAAGGUGAUAACCACGACGCGUCUGUUAAUGCUAAGAGAAGGAAAAUCGAUUCCGUGGAUCCCAGAUCUGACGACGUUGUUGCUGAUCAGGAGGAAAAGCUUUCGAAAGCGACGGACACAUCAAAUGGGUCGCCAUUGGUGUCCGGCCCCACACCCCCAGCCG